GCCGCGAUGGCGGAAUUGGUAGACGCGCUAGGUUCAGGGUCUAGUAGGCGGACGCCUGUGAGGGUUCGAGUCCCUCUCGCGGCA
rnacentral:tRNA from 1 species